CAGGACACAGAGCUUCCCUAAUCUAAUCCUAAUUAGUGGGUUUUGCACAAAGUGUAAAGAAUAGAUAAACACAGUAAUAAGGAUUUAUCAGUGAGUCGUCUUUACAGUGUUUUGUCAGUUUUUGGUAUUCAGCUGUCAGCACAUCUCAAGGUGUCGUUCUAACGUGUUAGGUGACUCUGAUACACUGCAUGUGCACCAGAACAGCCAGCACCGGAGAGAGGGGUUAAGCUUCCACAGGUGAUCUGGAGAUGAAGAUUAUCAUGUGGUGCACAUUGCUUCUAUUUCUUUGUUCAACCACAAAAGAGAUGGUUUUGGAUCAAACCAAACAGUCCAGAGGACUGACAGCAGAGAUGAAAAGCGGACUAAACAUCUCCCGGAACCUCAAAAGACACUCAGACGGGAUGUUCACCAGCGACUUGACCAACUAUCUUGAUAAAAUUAAAGCAAAAAAUUUUGUGGAGUGGCUGGCUGCUAUCAAACAACAAGAAUGCCAGGAGAAGGGGCUGGAAACUGCAGAGAAUGUAUAAUGAUGAUUCAACUCAAAGAAUUUUCCCAAAUAACUCACAUCUUUAACUUUAACGUGCUUUAAAUGUGGGAAUAAUUUACCCUUUAAAACUAACACACUGCUAAGAUUCGAUUGAAAGGGUUUAUGAAAGUAAUUUAUGGUCAUUUUCAUUUGCUUUGGCUAAGAUUUUUUCUUUAUGCAAUCAAAAAUAAAAAUUAAGAGAAUCAAGUGCCAUGAAUACAUAGUGAGGACCACAAGCGGGCGCUGUUGCUCUGCUUACUGUAUUCUUGUGAUGUAUAAUAAUAAGCAAUAAAAGAUUUUAAAAAGUAAAGCAGAUUUUUGGUGGAAAGACGAUUUGUUUUAAGAUAUAAUUUAAGUCCAAAUAAAAAUUGGAUUAUUGAAUUCGACCCCUCUAAAGAAGGGUAUAUUUGUUUUUCUUUUGUUUGUUUAUUUAUUACCUGUGCUUUAGGGACGUGGGGUGUUUGGGUUAUUUUUCAUUUUGAAAAGAAAGCUACAAACAACAAACAGGAAAAAGGAUUGAAAGCUAUUAAGCUUUCCACUGUGAUGGAGAACUACCUCUUUGGACCUGCCCUCCUUCCUCUGUCACUCUCUGGGGAAAGAAAGAAAACGAUGGAGGGAGAGAACAAACAGUAAACACUCACAACUCCCAGAAUGCACGAGGGCUGAACAGAUAUGGGAAACUCCCCAUCCCCGUGGCUACAACUAGAGCUUUUUUUUUUUUUUUUUUUUUUUUUUUUUUUAAAACAAAAAGCAGAACUGAAUAAGACAUUAAUAGUAACAUAUAUAAAUAAUUGAAAAGAGAUUCUAAAAUUAUAUUUUUUCUCAAAUCUGAAUGUUUAAGCUUAAAAAAGUAGAGGUGUUAAAUGUUAUUUUGAGCCUCAUCCAGGCUUUCCCUCAGAGAAACAACAUGCUAUGUGGCAGCUCCUUUCAGGGAGGAGGGAGGAGGUGAUGGAGAGAAGCUCACAGAGGAGGAGGAGAUUGACAGGCGUGUGUAGGUGUGGCACUUUGAAAUUUUAGUUCUGCACGCGGGGUUUAUUUUUAGUUCGCUCCUUUGUUUUGUUUUGUUAUUUUCGUGUGGAUUUCAGCUUCCACCCAGCGACGGUCCGCCGAAGCCCCACCCAGAGCGCUCGGAGUUGUUCACAGGAUGGUCGUCCUUCUGUUUCCACCUUCAGCACCAAGGACAGCUCCUCGCGCUCUCGCGCGCGCGGCGCUCGGGGGUUCGACUCCGACACAAAUGCCGCCUCUUCCAGGCACAAACUCACCGAGGCUGGUGGCCAAACUGGGAGUAUGCUGCUGACUCAGCCUCGACUGCUGCAUUAAUUUAUCUGCACUGCAGUGCUCAAACACCCCCCUCCCUGUCUGAACUCCCUUUCUCUCUUCCUCAAAGACAACCACUGCAAUCUCACACAAACAUCCUGCUUCCACAGUCAAGACAGAAGCUCCAGGAUCUAGAAGGAGAACCCAUAUGUGUGGAUAAACCAUAGCAGGGAGCUUUUAUGGGGGGGUUUAUAUGGAAAUUUAAGGAGAAAGACACUGAGGGGUGCGGGGGCUGGACUCAGAGCUGAAGCGUCCACGUGAUCUCUGGGAAAUACAAGCCAGGAAAACAAAUUAUUUUAAGGCCACAAUGAAGAAUGAAAGAAUGAAUUACAAACUGCACUAUAGAUGUCUGAAAAUACAAAAUAUUAAUCUGAAUCAACGACUUGAAUAAAAAUAACGACUUUAACUUG